UACAGAGGGUGCGAGCGUUGUUCGGAAUUAUUGGGCGUAAAGCGCGCGUAGGCGGAUCUGCAAGUCGGGGGUGAAAUCCCGAGGCUCAACCUCGGAACUGCCUUCGAUACUGCGGGUCUCGAGUCCGGGAGAGGUGAGUGGAAUUCCUAGUGUAGAGGUGAAAUUCGUAGAUAUUAGGAAGAACACCAGUGGCGAAGGCGGCUCACUGGCCCGGUACUGACGCUGAGGCGCGAAAGCGUGGGGAGCAAACAGG
rnacentral:rRNA from 1 species